rnacentral:hammerhead_ribozyme from 1 species
AUCCAGCUUGAGAGUUCCAAAUAGGACGAAACGCGCGUCCUGAAU